rnacentral:rRNA from 1 species
CCUACGGGGGGCAGCAGUGAGGAAUAUUGGUCAAUGGCCGUAAGGCUGAACCAGCCAAGUAGCGUGAAGGAUGACUGCCCUACGGGUUGUAAACUUCUUUUAUAAAGGAAUAAAGUGAGGCACGUGUGCCUUUUUGUAUGUACUUUAUGAAUAAGGAUCGGCUAACUCCGUGCCAGCAGCCGCGGUAAUACGGAGGAUCCGAGCGUUAUCCGGAUUUAUUGGGUUUAAAGGGAGCGUAGAUGGGUUGUUAAGUCAGUUGUGAAAGUUUGCGGCUCAACCGUAAAAUUGCAAUGGUUACUGGCAGUCUUGAGUACAGUGGAGGUAGGCGGAAUUCGUGGGGUAGCGGUGAAAUGCUUAGAUAUCACGAAGAACCCCGAUUGCGAAGGCAGCUUACUAAACUGUGACUGACAUUGAUGCUCGAAAGUGUGGGUAUCAAACAGGAUUAGAUACCCGUGUAGUC